rnacentral:rRNA from 1 species
GACGAACGCUGGCGGCGUGCUUAACACAUGCAAGUCGAGCGGUAAGGCCCUUUCGGGGGUACGACGAGCGGCGAACGGGUGAGUAACACGUGGGUGACCUGCCCUCAGCUCUGGGAUAAGCCUGGGAAACCGGGUCUAAUACCGGAUAUGACUCCAUGACGCAUGUUGUGGGGUGGAAAGCCUUGUGCGGCUGAGGAUGGGCCCGCGGCCUAUCAGCUUGUUGGUGGGGUGANGGCCUACCAAGGCGACGACGGGUAGCCGGCCUGAGAGGGCGACCGGCCACACUGGGACUGAGACACGGCCCAGACUCCUACGGGAGGCAGCAGUGGGGAAUCUUGCGCAAUGGGCGAAAGCCUGACGCAGCGACGCCGCGUGAGGGAUGACGGCC